rnacentral:rRNA from 1 species
CACGGGGGGAGCAAGCGUUGUUCGGAAUCACUGGGCGUAAAGGGCGUGUAGGCGGUCAAGUAAGUGGAAUGUGAAAUCCCCCGGCUUACCCGGGGACCUGCAUCCCAAACUGCUUGGCUUGAGUACGGGAGAGGAUGAGGGAAUUCCUGGUGUAGCGGUGAAAUGCGUAGAUAUCGUCAAGAACACCGAUAGCGAAGGCAGCUUACUAGGCUGUAACUGACGCUGAGGCACGAAAGUGUGGGGAUCAAACAGG